CACUGGUGCACUGCAGUGAAGCAGCAGUCGUGGAGCUUGCUUCCGCAUCUGUUGCUUCUCUGCAGUGCACUAGUG
rnacentral:pre_miRNA from 1 species